UCUAGCCCUGGGCUGUGAAAAAUCUCAACCCAGUUUUGCUUAGACGGGCUGAAGGCCACGGCUGGUGGAGAGGACCAAGCUCUAGAGCUCUAGAAAGUGAGUAAACUUUCUAGGUGCAACCAUGUUCAGAAGCCCAGAGAUUGCUGGCUGUCUGGGAGCUUUCAAGUUCCCUGAGAAACAAGAUUUCAACCAGAAAAACUUAAACUGCGUUGGAUUACCAAGUCAAAGAAAAGUUUCAAGCUUUCAGAAAGAGUUCUGGCUUGAAGAUAAAGAACAGCUUGCUAACCACAGAAGAAGAAUCGAUGCUAAGAUUUUAACUGCACUUCCGAAAGGUG